rnacentral:tRNA from 1 species
GCAUUGGUGGUUCAGUGGUAGAAUUAUUGCCUGACAUGCGGGAGGCCCGGGUUUGUUUCCCGGCCAAUGCA